rnacentral:rRNA from 1 species
GGAGUUAGGAAAUGUAAGUGCGCUAAUAUCGCAUUUAUUUGACGAAGGCUCCAAAGGAAGCCACGGCUAACUCUGUGCCAGCAGCCGCGGUAAUACAGAGGUGGCAAGCGUUGUUCGGAAUUAUUGGGCGUAAAGAGCACGUAGGUGGGUUUGCAAGUCAGAUGUGAAAGCCUUCUGUUCAACGGAAGAAUUGCAUCUGAAACUGCAAGUCUUGAGUGUAGGAGGGGAGAGUGGAACUUCUG